ACCUAAAUGGGUCGCAAAAUAUACUUUGGCGGCCGUUAACAUACCUGGGCGGCCCGCCCAAGUUAAGUCUAUGUGUGGGAAACCCUGGCCUACAUGAUGUCAUCACGCUGAUUCAUCAUGUGGUGUUAAUAUGUGGAGAUUAUCCUGCUGAACAAAAUGUGUAAGUUUCACAAACGUGUUUAACUCUGAGCUUGCUUACUGUAAUAUUCUGAAAUCCAAUGAAGAAAUCCCAUUGCUUUUUGUCGAGGAAGAACUUGCGAUGCUCCUGUCCUGGUCCACCGACGGAAAUACGCUAUCACUGCACCGCUCUCUGAAUACAUCAAAUUAACACGGUGGCUAACUUGACAGUUGUGUUGAGUUGGUAAAUUACAAAUAAGCUGUUUUUAUCUGCAGAGCUGCUUGGUACGAAACCCCAGAGAGAGGAUUCCUUUAAAAGAGCUGCUGGAUCAUCCGUACCUACAGCAUUCACCUGCAGAAAGAGGUCCAAGUAACAGAGAUCUGCAGAAGAUCUUAACAGACCUCGCCGCCCUCCAGUCUCCAGGCAGCAUCAUCCGAGCAGCUAAUAAUCUGGCCAAAAUGUGCAGCAGCGGCAGGAAGCUGGAUGUUGCAGAGUGUGCAAAGUCAUCAACAUAACUAUCUUUGAAACUGUGAUGUGGAUGGAAGUUACUAUAUUUUCUUUUUGUUAAACUAAUAAAGUAUGCACA